AGAGAAGUACCCAAGUGGCUCAAGGGGCUCCCCUGCUAAGGGAGUAGGUCGGGUGACCGGCGCGAGGGUUCGAAUCCCUUCUUCUCUG
rnacentral:tRNA from 1 species